GUACUCGCUUCGGCGGUACAUAUAUUAAAAUUUGAACGAUACAGAGAUUAGCGUGGCCCUUGCGCAAGGAUGAAACGCAAAAUUGUGAAGCGUUCCAUAUUUUU
rnacentral:snRNA from 1 species